GGGAGUGGGAGAGGAAGAAGCAGGCUUCCCGCUGAGCAGGGAGCCUAAUGCGGGGCUCGAUCCCAGGACCCUGUGAUCAUGACCUGAGCCGAAGGCAGACGCCCAGUGACUGAGCCACCCAGUAGCCCCUAAUUGUGCGAUUCUUUACUUGACUCUUUCAUGUCACUGUUGCUAAACAGGGAGCCAUGGCAUGAAUCACUGCAGGAGCCCUGCUCGUCAUGUGAUAUCCGGAGGCCACAAUGAAGCUCAGAGGUGCCUAAAGACGCUAAGAGCACCAAUUCCAAGCUAGCCAGCCACGAGGACUCGCUGAGUAAGCUGCUGUUGUGUCCAGACAAUGUAACACCAAGCAGCUGAUCGAUCAGGAGAGGAAGAUCUUCUGAACUAAGAGGGGAAUGAUCUCCACGGCAGACUGCAGAGGGAAGAGAAACAACAGCAAGGCAGAACAGAGUAAAAAAAUACCUGGAUGAAAAAAGAGCAAAAAGGAAUCCACGCCCUGGGAACAGAAGAGCUGGCUCCUGGGUCGCUGAGGAACCUGACGUCUAACAUCUCUCCUGCCAUUAGGAGGGUCUGCCAUGGCCCUUGGACAGUCAGCCCCUGCUGUUCUCGGGGCAGUGGCCUUCCAGGUCUCCUGAUCCCAGAUGGCACUCCCUGCACCGAAGUGGCUGUUGUCCUGUUCAGAUCAUCAUUUCUUCUUUCUCACCAUUAGGGUGAGCCCUCACCCAAUCUGACUGGUGUCCCCAUCAGAAGAGGAAAGUUGGCUACAGAUGUGUAUAAAGACCACGUGAGGACACAGCGAGAAGGAGGCCAUCUGCCAGCCAAGGAGAGGCCUCAGGAGACACUGAGCCUGCUGACACCUUGAUUUUGGACUUCCAGCCUCCAGAGCUGUGAGAGCAUAACUUUCCAUUGUUGAAGUCCAUGUCUGUGGUGUUUUCUUGUUGGCAGCCCUAGCAAACGAUAUAACCCUAACAUAAUACUUAUUUCUACAGGGCAGUGGUUGCAUUUUGAGUUUUUUUUUUUUUUUUUAA